rnacentral:tRNA from 1 species
GCAGCUGUAGCUCAGUUGGUUAGAGCGCCUGACUGUGGAUCAGGAGGUCGGUGGUUCGAAUCCACCCAGCUGUACCA